rnacentral:rRNA from 1 species
GGUUCUUUACCCGGAGUGGAGAAUUUUCCUUCAGUUCGGCUGGUUGAGUGACAGGUGCUGCAUGGCUGUCGUCAGCUCGUGUCGUGAGAUGUUGGGUUAAGUCCCGCAACGAGCGCAACCCUCGCCGUUAGUUGCCAUCAUUUAGUUGGGCACUCUAGCGGAACCGCCGGUGAUAAGCCGGAGGAAGGUGGGGAUGACGUCAAGUCUUCAUGGCCCUUACGGGAUGGGCUACACACGUGCUACAAUGGUGGUGACAAUGGGAUAAUCCCUAAAAGCCAUCUCAGUUCGGAUUGGGGUCUGCAACUCGACCCCAUGAAGUUGGAAUCGCUAGUAAUCGCGUAACAGCAUGACGCGGUGAAUACGUUCCCGGGUCUUGUACACACCGA